rnacentral:rRNA from 1 species
UACGUAGGAGGCGAGCGUUGUCCGGAGUUACUGGGCGUAAAGGGUGCGCAGGCGGCCCGACAGGUGUGUGGUGAAAUCUCCCGGCUUACCUGGGAGGGGGCCACGCAAACCGUUGGGCUUGAGGCUCGGGGAGGGGCGUGGAAUUCCUGGUGUAGCGGUGAAAUGCGCAGAUAUCAGGAGGAACACCGGUGGCGAAGGCGGUGGUCUGGGCCGGCACUGACGCUGAGGAGCGAAAGCGUGGGGAGCGAACAGG